CCCGCUGAGUUUAAGCAUAUCAAUAAGCGGAGGAAAAGAAACAUGCAAGGAUUCCCUUAGUAACAGGGAGCUAACCGGGAACAACCUAACCUUAGAAUCGGGCGGCUCCAUCGUCUGAAAUGUAGUCUAGAGAAGCGUCCUCAGCUGAGGACCGGGCCCAUGUCCCCUGGAAGGGGGCGCCAAAGAGGGUGAGAGCCCCGUGGUGCCUAGACCAUGCCAUACCACGAGGCGCUAUCUACGAGUCGGGCUGUUUUGGAAUGCAACCCAAAUCGAGCGGUGAAUUUCGUCCUAGGCUAAAUACAAGCGAGAGACUAAUAACGAACAAGUACCACGAGGGAAAUAUUAAAAGGAAUUUGAAAAGAGAGUCAAAGAGUGCUUCAAAUUGUCGGGAGGGAAGUAGAUGGAGGCUAACGAUGCACCCCGGUCGGAUGUGGAACGGUGACGAGCUGGUCCACCGAUCGACUCGGGGGGAACUAUGCCUGAGCGGGGGGAAGCCAAGGUCAUGGAUAGGAUAAUUCUUCAUAUGAAUCUUAAGUUGCCUUGAGGCAUAGGCAACAACUUUCCCAUUUUGCAUAAGCACACACCCUAACCCAAUUCUUGAGUCAUCACAAUAAACCACAAAACCAUCAGGCCCUUCCAAUAAAGUCAACAUCGGAGCAGAAGUAAGUCUAUCCUUCAACUCUUGAAAA
rfam:Solanum tuberosum cultivar DM 1-3 516 R44 scf00427_46, whole genome shotgun sequence.